rnacentral:rRNA from 1 species
AGUCGAGGGGUAUGGUUCUUCGGAACCAGAGACCGGCGCACGGGUGCGUAACGCGUAUGCAAUCUGCCUUUCACAGAGGGAUAGCCCAGAGAAAUUUGGAUUAAUACCUCAUAGUAUAGCGACAUCGCAUGAUGAUGCUAUUAAAGUCACAACGGUGAAAGAUGAGCAUGCGUCCCAUUAGCUAGUUGGUAAGGUAACGGCUUACCAAGGCAACGAUGGGUAGGGGUCCUGAGAGGGAGAUCCCCCACACUGGUACUGAGACACGGACCAGACUCCUACGGGAGGCAGCAGUGAGGAAUAUUGGUCAAUGGGCGCAAGCCUGAACCAGCCAUGCCGCGUGCAGGAUGACGGUCCUAUGGAUUGUAAACUGCUUUUGCACAGGAAGAAACACUGAUUCGUGAAUCAGCUUGACGGUACUGUGAGAAUAAGGAUCGGCUAACUCCGUGCCAGCAGCCGCGGUAAUACGGAGGAUCCAAGCGUUAUCCGGAAUCAUUGGGUUUAAAGGGUCCGUAGGCGGUCUGGUAAGUCAGUGGUGAAAGCCCAUCGCUCAACGGUGGAACGGCCAUUGAUACUGCUGGACUUGAAUUAUUAGGAAGUAACUAGAAUAUGUAGUGUAGCGGUGAAAUGCUUAGAGAUUACAUGGAAUACCAAUUGCGAAGGCAGGUUACUACUAAUGGAUUGACGCUGAUGGACGAAAGCGUGGGUAGCGAACAGGAUUAGAUACCCUGGUAGUCCACGCCGUAAACGAUGGAUACUAGCUGUUGGAAGCAAUUUCAGUGGCUAAGCGAAAGUGAUAAGUAUCCCACCUGGGA